rnacentral:rRNA from 1 species
CAAUCCGGGAGCCAGUAGAGGUGCUGCAUGGCUGUCGUCAGCUCGUGUCGUGAGAUGUUGGGUUAAGUCCCGCAACGAGCGCAACCUUACCCUUAGCUGCCAGCGGAUAAUGCCGGGCACUCUAAGGGGACCGCCCCGGAUAACGGGGAGGAAGGCGGGGAUGACGUCAAGUCAGCAUGGCCUUUAUGUCCAGGGCUACACACGUGCUACAAUGGGCGAUACAGAGGGAAGCAAGGCCGCAAGGUAGAGCUAAUCCCUAAAGCCGUCCUCAGUUCGGAUUGCAGGCUGCAACUCGCCUGCAUGAAGUCGGAAUCGCUAGUAGUCGCGGAUCAGCUACGCCGCGGUGAAUACGUUCUCGGGCCUU